AAGAGUGCCAUCAACUUCUUCUGCAGAGCUUGCAGUACCUGGAGCGCUACAUUUACCUCAUCCUCUUCAACACCUACCUGCACCUGGAGAAGAAAGACUCCUACCAGCGCUCUUUCACUCUCUGGAUGGAGCAGGUCACCGCCCGUGCAGGAGUUUACGACAUCCUCAACCGGCUGAGCUUUAGCGAGUUCAAGAACCCCAAGGACGCCCCGCUGGCCCGACUGCGUUGGCGCUGGCAGCAACAGGAUCUUCCGUCACUUCCUUUCCGGGGGGACUUCCUGUGAGGGGGAAAUCACUGUGAACCAUGAAAUACAGUACUGUGCUUUUCACAAUAAAAGACUAACUUGAUGCCUGGCUAACGGCCCAGUAAACCCGUUUUAUUGUUUAGAGUCUUAAAAGGUAGAAGUUGUUUGUGCCUUUUUCCUCAUGAGUGCUAAAAGUUUGAUCAUACUAAUAUUUAUCUUCUUUGUAUGCAGUUGGGCGGUGAGAGGAGUCAGUCCACAAAAACCAGGUCACUUUUUAAUUGUUCCAUCUUCUAUUAGGGCGACACUGAAAUAAUACAAAGGUAUUUUUGUCAAUCA